GGCUCUGGAGUUCUUGAUUUGCCUCAACAAUUUGCAACAUCUUUUAUAAAUCCAUCUGUCUUUUAGAUAUCUGAAUGUCUUUGUGUGCAAUUUCCAUGGCCUGAUCAGAUUUCAGUAACUUUUUUUUUUUUUCUUUUCUUUCUAUUAAUACCAGUAGCUGUCAGGCUGUUGCUGGUGUAGGGAACCAUUUUCACAGCAACUUGAUGGGAUUAUGUUUUCAAAACCAGCUUCAGAAAAUGUACCUGCAAGUGAGGAAUGUGCAAUAGGGCACUCCCACAGCCUUCUGAAGUGAAUGCAGCGAGCUGUAUGUGCCUUUGUGUGCGGGCCGGCUGCCAGCCAAACUUCUGUGCUCUUUGUGUGCAAGACUCUGCAUUUACCCUUACUGACUUCAUAAGGUUCCAGCCUCAUCAACCCAUUCAACCCAUCAGCCUGUUCUCCAAACCAUCAAGAACCCUCUGAGCAGGCAGACCUGUGCUCCAGUGCGGUACGAGAGUUGCAAAGGAUAAGCAACACAUGAUUCCCAAGUGGUUGGUUGGUUGAUGGACGUCGAGGGCAAGUAAUAACAUCGUUAAAGAGCUAGCAGAGAAGACUGGAGAUCUGGACAUCCUUCUCAGGCAAAUUAGGGUUUUUGUGACCUUCCCCACCUGCAAAGUCGCAUAAGGAUUCUUGCCAUGCAGUGGAGCUGAGGAAAUCAAUCUAUUUCCCUGAUGUGCAAAAGUUCCCAUGCGAGUUGCGUUCCCAUGCACCAGUGAUUAAUGUUGCAGAAAAGGCUAUAAAUAUUACAGAGAUGUAAUACAGCUGUUGAGUGGUGUUCAGCUGUAGGCUUAUUGCAACUUUCAAUAUUUUUAUACCUGAAUUAAAUAGAUAAAUGAACACAGAUGAUGGGCUCUUGUUGAAAAAAUUUUGGGGAAUGAAGUGUCUAGAAUUUAUAAUAGUCUUCUUGUUUGUUAGUUUAACUUCCAAACAUCAUGGAUUUCUUUAGAAACAGCAAUUUUCAAUUUUCCAUGGAUACUUCAUUGCCUGUAUUCCAGUAUUUCAGGGUUUGUACAGCUGUU